UACGAAGGGAGCUAGCGUUGUUCGGAAUCACUGGGCGUAAAGCGCACGUAGGCGGCUCGAUAAGUCAAAGGUGAAAUCCCUCGGCUCAACUGAGGAACUGCCUUUGAAACUGUCGAGCUCGAGUCCGGGAGGGGGUAGCGGAAUUCCCAGUGUAGCGGUGGAAUGCGUAGAUAUUGGGAGGAACACCAGUGGCGAAAGCGGCUACCUGGACCGGAACUGACGCUGAUGCGCGAAAGCGUGGGUAGCAAACAGG
rnacentral:rRNA from 1 species